GGAAACAUCUGUGCUGUGUCUGCUCUUUCUGAUCUCACUGCUGAGCUGCACAACAAACCAAGGUCAGUAACCUUCUUCUGUCACAGUUUAAACCUGAGAAAUGCUCACUGAUAUGACCUGAUUGGGUUCAUGUAUCACAAUGUAAAGUCUAACAGAUCAUCAGUUUUUCAUUUUAACCCUCACAGCUCGUCUGACUGUGAGUCCCAGCAGCUCUCAGUUCUUUAAAGGAGACUUUGUGUCUCUGAGCUGUGAGGAGGACGACAGCUCUGCUGGAUGGACUCUGAGGAGAAAUGCAAGCAAUUUACAGAGGACUCAGUGUAGAGAUGGGUGGGGAAAACCAGCUAAUUCUUCCUGUAACAUGAGCUACAUCUUAACACAUGACAGUGGAGUUUACUGGUGUGAGUCCAGAGAGGGUCCCAUCAGUAACAUGGUUAACCUGACAGUCACUGGUGGAUCAGUGAUCCUGCAGAGUCCUGUCCUCCCUGUGAUGGAGGGAGAUGACGUCACU